AUCCAGUAUCUCCAUAUAAAUAACCCCAAAUCAUCAUCUCAGGUUCCCUGGUUGUGUCUAGAAAUUAAACUGACAAAGACAGAUUAAAAGAAGAAAAGAAUAUACAUCUAUUUCUAUAAAUUUUACAGGAUAUUGGGGCAUUUAUAAUGAAAUGAAGACCUGACUGAAUGAAAUGGUAAAGCCUGAGCAUUUUUAUACUAGGUUUAAGAAGAGUGGAACAUCUUGGAAAAUAUGAUGAAGACACAGAAAUACAUUUUCUCAUUUGGAAGA